rnacentral:rRNA from 3 species
CCGGUUUAAGCGUGUAGGUGUGUGUUCCAGGUAAAUCCGGUUCACUUUAACACUGAGGCGUGACGACGAGGCACUACGGUGCUGAAGCAACAAAUGCCCUGCUUCCAGGAAAAGCCUCUAAGCAUCAGGUAACAUCAAAUCGUACCCCAAACCGACACAGGUGGUCAGGUAGAGAAUACCAAGGCGCUUGAGAGAACUCGGGUGAAGGAACUAGGCAAAAUGGUGCCGUAACUUCGGGAGAAGGCACGCUGACACGUAGGUGAAGUGAUUUACUCAUGGAGCUGAAGUCAGUCGAAGAUACCAGCUGGCUGCAACUGUUUAUUAAAAACACAGCACUGUGCAAACACGAAAGUGGACGUAUACGGUGUGACGCCUGCCCGGUGCCGGAAGGUUAAUUGAUGGGGUCAGCGCAAGCGAAGCUCCUGAUCGAAGCCCCGGUAAACGGCGGCCGUAACUAUAACGGUCCUAAGGUAGCGAAAUUCCUUGUCGGGUAAGUUCCGACCUGCACGAAUGGCGUAAUGAUGGCCAGGCUGUCUCCACCCGAGACUCAGUGAAAUUGAACUCGCUGUGAAGAUGCAGUGUACCCGCGGCAAGACGGAAAGACCCCGUGAACCUUUACUAUAGCUUGACACUGAACAUUGAGCCUUGAUGUGUAGGAUAGGUGGGAGGCUUUGAAGUGUGGACGCCAGUCUGCAUGGAGCCGACCUUGAAAUACCACCCUUUAAUGUUUGAUGUUCUAACGUGGACCCGUUACCCGGGUUGCGGACAGUGUCUGGUGGGUAGUUUGACUGGGGCGGUCUCCUCCUAAAGAGUAACGGAGGAGCACGAAGGUUGGCUAAUCCUGGUCGGACAUCAGGAGGUUAGUGCAAUGGCAUAAGCCAGCUUGACUGCGAGCGUGACGGCGCGAGCAGGUGCGAAAGCAGGUCAUAGUGAUCCGGUGGUUCUGAAUGGAAGGGCCAUCGCUCAACGGAUAAAAGGUACUCCGGGGAUAACAGGCUGAUACCGCCCAAGAGUUCAUAUCGACGGCGGUGUUUGGCACCUCGAUGUCGGCUCAUCACAUCCUGGGGCUGAAGUAGGUCCCAAGGGUAUGGCUGUUCGCCAUUUAAAGUGGUACGCGAGCUGGGUUUAGAACGUCGUGAGACAGUUCGGUCCCUAUCUGCCGUGGGCGCUGGAGAACUGAGGGGGGCUGCUCCUAGUACGAGAGGACCGGAGUGGACGCAUCACUGGUGUUCGGGUUGUCAUGCCAAUGGCACUGCCCGGUAGCUAAAUGCGGAAGAGAUAAGUGCUGAAAGCAUCUAAGCACGAAACUUGCCCCGA